CCUUUCUACGGAGUUUUCAGGCCAGUGUUCGCUGGCCGGUGUGCGCCCCGCGGGCCGGAUCGUCCGGUCGUCGUUCGGGGUUGCUGGUGUGGAAGAGAUCAUGGGCUUUCGGUCUGCCGGUCGUGCGGUGGCCGUGGAAGCGGUAUGGAUGCGCUUUUGGGCUCCCGGAUCGCCACCCCGAGGCUUUAGUCUUGGUGCGAUUCGCUGCCCAUCAUGGCGGGCGUGCGGGCUGGUUCCCGUGCGGUCUGGUCGUGGUGGUGCGUGGUGGCUUGAGAACUGGAUAGUGGACGCGAGCAAUUGGAGGAGCCAUUUGUUGUGGUUUCUUCUUUUGCUGUCGAUUUCGAUUCGAACUCGAAACUUUGUUUUGUGUUCGUUCGAUCGUUUAGUGUGAUCAUUUUUGAUGUGUUGUGAUGUGUCGUCUGGGAAUUCGCUAGAUUUGAAUCAUUGAUUCUUGCCGGUUAUGUGGCCGUGUGGCCG
rnacentral:misc_RNA from 1 species